rnacentral:rRNA from 1 species
AGUAGACCGGCGCACGGGUGCGUAACACGUGGGUAACCUACCCUCCGGUCUGGAAUAACCCGCCGAAAGGUGGGCUAAUGCCAGAUGAAGUGCAGUCACCUGCGGGUGGUCUGCAUCAAAGCUGGGGACCCUUCGGGGCCUAGCGCCGGAGGAUGGGCCCGCGGCCCAUUAGCUAGUUGGUGAGGUAAUGGCUCACCAAGGCUACGAUGGGUAGCCGGCCUGAGAGGGUGGUCGGCCACACUGGCACUGGAACACGGGCCAGACUCCUACGGGAGGCAGCAGUGAGGAAUCUUGGGCAAUGGGCGAAAGCCUGACCCAGCGACGCCGCGUGGAGGAAGAAGGCCUUCGGGUCGUAAACUCCUGUCAGGGGGGAAGAAACGCGAGCGGGUGAACAACCUGUUCGCCUGACGGUACCCCCAGAGGAAGCGCCGGCUAACUCCGUGCCAGCAGCCGCGGUAAUACGGAGGGCGCAAGCGUUGCU